rnacentral:rRNA from 1 species
GACGAACGCUGGCGGCGUGCUUAACACAUGCAAGUCGAACGAAGUGGCGGACGGGUGAGUAACGCGUAAGCAACCUGCCCUUCAGAGGGGGACAACAGUUGGAAACGACGGAUAAUACCGCAUAAGGAAGGAGGGGAUUGCGUCUGAUUAGCUAGUUGGGGGGGUAACGGCCAACCAAGGCGAUGAUCAGUAGCCGUUCUGAGAGGAUGAACGGCCACAUUGGGACUGAGACACGGCCCAGACUCCUACGGGAGGCAGCAGUGGGGAAUCUUCCGCAAUGGACGAAAGGCUGACGGAGCAACGCCGCGUGAGUGAUGACGGCCUUCGGGUUGUAAAGCUCUGUUAAUCGGGACGCGGUACCGGAAUAGAAAGCCACGGCUAACUACGUGCCAGCAGCCGCGGUAAUAC